UACGUAGGGAGCAAGCGUUAUCCGGAUUUACUGGGUGUAAAGGGAGCGUAGACGGCGGGGCAAGUCUGGAGUGAAAGGCCGGGGCCCAACCCCGGGACCGCUCUGGAAACUGCCCGGCUGGAGUGCGGGAGAGGUAAGCGGAAUUCCUAGUGUAGCGGUGAAAUGCAUAGAUAUCAGGAGGAACACCAGUGGCGAAGGCGGCUUACUGGACUGUAACUGACGCUGAGGCACGAAGGCCAGGGGAGCGAAAGGG
rnacentral:rRNA from 1 species